AAAGCUGCCCUUCUGUUCGAUUAUCUGUGCUUCAAGCAGUUUCCCACUCCGCACUUGACCGUCUGGGUUAUGGCCAGGGACAAGAAUACCUACUGCUUGUUCUCAGCCUGCUGACCAGAUGCCUACUGGGUCCAUCCAUAUGGACAUUUCAUGGGAGAAAACACUGGAUCAUUUGCUUCAAAUUCUAAGUUCCUUUGGUCUUCCCUUAGUCAAUUAGGAAUGUAACUGCUGAGGCCAAAGAACAGAGAGAGCAAGAUCUCCCACGCCCUAGAAGUCUAUGACGGAUGGAACUAGUCCAGGCUAACCCAAGGGGCAGAGAUGGGAUGUCUCAAUUGCAGAUGUAGACAAAAAAGGAUUUUAAUUUCAGCAUUUAAUAUAACUGUUACAAUGGUGAAAACAAAAA